GAAAAACUGGAUCAAGCCAACAGUAGGCAGGAACAGAAGAAAAAAGAGUAGCAAAGAAAAGGCUUAGUAAAUGGGUUUGAAUUUAGGUUCAAGACUUGAGUUCAAAAUUUGGCUGUGCCCCUUCCUAUCUCGGUGGCCAAUGCCACGGCCCAGACACUGGUCCUCCUUGCUGAGGCUCGUUUUCCUCAGCUGUAAACGGGGCAGGCUGGCACCACGGCUCACUAGGCUAAUCCUCCGCCUGCGGCGUCUGCACCCCGGGUUCUAGUCCCGGUCGGGGCGCCAGCCCUGUCCCAGUUACUCCUCUUCCAGUCCAGCUCUCUGCUGUGGCCUGGGAGUGCAAUGGAGGAUGGCCCAAGUCCUUGGACCCUGCACCCCAUGGAGACUAGGAGAAGCACCUGGCUCCUGGCUUCAGAUCAGCACGGUGCGCCGGCUGCAGCACGCCAGCCGCAGCGGCCAUUGGAGGGUGAACCAAUGGUAAAGGAAGACCUUUCUCUCUGUCUCUCUCUCUCACUGUCCACUCUGCCUGUCAAAAAACAAAAACAAAACAAAAAUAAAAACGGGGUAAUAACAUCUUCACGGGUGCUUCUGAGUAUUAUGUGAGAUAAUUCGUAUAAGGGGGAUGGCUGCGGUAUACAGCCGGUGCUCAAUAAACGUCAGGCAAGCUCCUGAGUGUUGGCUCCAUUCCCCACACUCUCCUCAUUGUCACACAGCAGGGAUGGCUCCCCUGCCCCUGACAGCACUUCCCUGGGCUCUCAUUCAGGCCCAGGUCCCCUGCCUUGCACUUGGUGAGGGUGGGGUUGCUGACACACGCUGUUGGGCUUGGAGCGGUGCUGCAGGUGGCGAGGAGGGGCCGGGGGUUGGGGGGGAGGAACUUGAGGCUGGCUACUGCUCGGCUCAUCUCACAGGUGUUCACAAACUGCGUGGCCGCUCUGCUCGGGCUGUGAUCACACAAGACAGAGCGCGGGCGUCCAGACAGGAAGCUGGGACAGCGGUAUCUUUAAUUCCAGCGGCGUCAGCUCCUGAAGAGGGCUUGGUUGCUGCUGUCAGAGAGCAGCCGCUCAGGGCUGACCCUGAAUUCACCGUCGGGGGUGGGGGUGAACCUCAAGGUGUUGUCACCUCCUGA
rnacentral:lncRNA from 1 species